rnacentral:rRNA from 1 species
AUGGAUGGAAUCAAAUACGCAGUAUUUACAGAAAAAAGUCUUCGUUUAUUGGGAAAGAAUCAAUAUACUUUUAAUGUCGAAUCGGGAUUCACUAAGACAGAAAUAAAGCAUUGGGUUGAACUCUUCUUUGGUGUUAAGGUGGUAGCUGUGAAUAGCCAUCGACUACCUGGAAAAGGUAGAAGAAUAGGACCUAUUCUGGGCCAUACAAUGCAUUACAGAGACAAUCAAUGCUCUGAUAUAGAGUAUAACCUGACUAUCUUGGCCUACCCAAGUGAAAUUACGAUAAAAGAAAAGCAUGGAUAUGGGGAGAGGUGGAUAACUAGAUUGGCAUGUACUUAA